UAAUCCUUUGACCUGGAUGGUUUUCGGGCGACAGAAGUGUGGCCUGGAAAGCAAAAGGGAAUGCGGAGGCAGGGACCCAGACCGGGACUGCCAAACGCAGCCGACCCCGCGACUGUAGAGCAGCGAGGGUUUUCCAUCCGGUUUUGGUGCCGAAGGCAUGACGGAUCGCAGGUGCGGUCGGUGCUGGAUGCAGGAAACCGGAAAAGCCACUGGGGUGGCAGCGCGAUCAGCCGGGGUUGGACGCCUCUUUAUCUACGAAUCGUCCGCCUUUUCGCGACUGCCUCAAGCCCUGGGAAGGCGAGGAGGAUCCGUUGGCGUUUUCGCCGGCAGCUGCGAGCCAGGAGACCUGCCGUCCGUGACGGGCCGAGA
rnacentral:ncRNA from 1 species